rnacentral:rRNA from 1 species
UGGGGAUUAUUGCACAAUGGGCGCAAGCCUGAUGCAGCAACGCCGCGUGAACGAUGAAGGUCUUCGGAUCGUAAAGUUCUGUUGCAGGGGAAGAUAAUGUCGGUACCCUGUGAGGAAGCCCCGGCUAACUACGUGCCAGCAGCCGCGGUAAUACGUAAGGGGCUAGCGUUAUCCGGAUUUACUGGGCGUAAAGGGUGCGUAGGUGGUCUUUCAAGUCGGUGGUUAAAGGCUACGGCUCAACCGUAGUUAGCCUCCGAAACUGGAAGACUUGAGUGCAGGAGAGGAAAGUGGAAUUCCCAGUGUAGCGGUGAAAUGCGUAGAUAUUGGGAGGAACACCAGUAGCGAAGGCGGCUUUCUGGACUGCAACUGACACUGAGGCACGAAAGCGUGGGUAGCAAACAGG